rnacentral:rRNA from 1 species
CCUACGGGGGGCAGCAGUGAGGAAUAUUGGGCAAUGGGCGAGAGCCUGAACCAGCCAAGUCGCGUGAAGGAUGACGGCCCUACGGGUUGUAAACUUCUUUUGUCAGGGAGCAAUUGGGUCCACGCGUGGGCUUAGCGAGAGUACCUGAAGAAAAAGCAUCGGCUAACUCCGUGCCAGCAGCCGCGGUAAUACGGAGGGUGCGAGCGUUAUGCGGAUUUAUUGGGUUUAAAGGGUGCGCAGGCGGAAUAUCAAGUCAGCGGUAAAAAUUCGGGGCUCAACCCCGUCGUGCCGUUGAAACUGAUGUUCUUGAGUGGGCGAGAAGUGUGCGGAAUGCGUGGUGUAGCGGUGAAAUGCGUAGAUAUCACGCAGAACUCCGAUUGCGAAGGCAGCACACCGGCGCCCAACUGACGCUGAAGCACGAAAGCGUGGGUAGCGAACAGGAUUAGAUACCCCAGUAGUC